CAGUAGCCGCGGGAAUACCGAGGGUGCAAGCGUUAAUCGGAGUUACUGGGCGUAAAGGGCGCGUAGGUGGUUGCGUAAGUGAGAUGUGAAAUCCCCGGGCUUAACCUGGGACGUGCAUCUUAUACUGCGUAACUGGAGUGCAAGAGAGGGUAGUGGAAUUUCCGGUGUAGCGGUGAAAUGCGUAGAUAUCGGAAGGAACACCAGUGGCGAAGGCGGCUACCUGGCUUGACACUGACACUGAGGCGCGAAAGCGUGGGGAGCAAACAGGAUUAGAUACCCCCGUAGUCCCUGUCUCUUAUAA
rnacentral:rRNA from 1 species